CACGAAGGAAAGAAUGAAAAAAGAAAAACACGAUUCCGAUCGAUCUCGAUAAGUUCCGCUUUUUUCACCUAUAUGUACCUCAUUGAAGGAUGCGGGAGACGUAGGAACCA
rnacentral:rRNA from 1 species